rnacentral:misc_RNA from 1 species
GAAAUGCGAUACGUAGUGUGAAUUGCAGAAUUCAGUGAAUCAUCGAAUCUUUGAACGCACAUUGCGCCCUUUGGUAUUCCAAAGGGCAUGCCUGUUCGAGCGUCAUUUGUACCCUCAAGCUUUGCUUGGUGUUGGGCGUUUUUUGUCUUUGGCUCGCCCAAAGACUCGCCUUAAAACGAUUGGCAGCCGGCCUACUGGUUUCGCAGCGCAGCACAUUUUUGCGCUUGUAAUCAGCAAAAGAGGACGGCAAUCCAUCAAGACUCCUUCUCACGUUUGACCUCGGAUCAGGUAGGGAUACCCGCUGAACUUAAGC